rnacentral:rRNA from 1 species
ACCCAACAGCUAGCCCAAAAAUUAAAGACCAACAGACCCCCAUUAAUAAACCCACAUCCCCAAUAAACCUAACAAAGCAAACCAUUUUUCCACCCGAGUAUGGGCGACAGAAAAGGACGUAUGGAGCAACAGAAAGAGUACCGCAAGGGAAAGCUGAAAAAGAAAUGAAACAAACCAGUAAAGACGAACAAAGCAGAGAUAAACCCUCGU